rnacentral:rRNA from 1 species
UUGAAAGGGAAACGAUUGAAGUCAGUCGUACCGACGAGAAAUCAGCUUAUCGUGUGUUAACUUGUGGGCGUGCGUGAGUUUCGGCCUCGCUGUUUGCAUGUUUGUGCACUUUGGGUGUACUUUUUCGUAUGGUUGGCCAACAUCAGUUUCGAUUACUAUAAAAUGACUGGCGGAAUGUAGCUUCGAUUUCGGUUGAAGUGUUAUAGCCUCUGGUAGAUGUGGUGAUUGAGACUGAGGAUUGCAACGAAUAUCCUUUGGGCUAUCCGUCUGGCCUCUGAAAGUUGCUUGGGUGCUGAAAGCUUGCUUAUGGUUAUCUAAGUUAACGGUCAAUAGGUUAGAACGUGAUUACAUUCGUUAAGGAUGUUGACGUA